GCCUACUGCUGCGCGAUCUGCAAAAACCUCGGUUUUCACGGGGUUUUUGCAUGCCAGCAGCGCUUUUGUAAAGCGCAGGUUGCCGGUUCGAUUCCGGCAGGUGGCU
rnacentral:tRNA from 1 species